UGAGUAACUGUGCUCCUAGACUGUUUAGCCGGUUUUCCUUGGUUUGCCUUCACCGGUAGGCCAUGGUGGCUGGCGUGUUUACCUUGAAUAAAUUAGAGUGCUCAAGACAGGCGUUUUGCUUGUAUAUCCGUGCAUGGAAUAAUGGAACAGGACUUCGGUUCAUUCUGUUGGUCUUGGAACCGAUGUAAUGGUUAAGAGGGACUGACGGGGGCAUCCGUAUCGCUGCGUGAGAGGUGAAAUUCUUGGACCGCAGCGGGACGUCCAACUGCGAAAGCAUUUGCCAAGAAUGUCUUCAUUAAUCAAGAACGAAAGUCAGAGGAUCGAAGGCGAUUAGAUACCGCCCUAGUUCUGACCGUAAACGAUGCCAACUAGCGAUCAGGUGCUGAUAGUUUAGUCGCGCCUGGGAGCUUCCCGGAAACGAAAGUCUUCGGGUUCCGGGGGUAGUAUGGUUGCAAAGCUGAAACUUAAAGGAAUUGACGGAAGGGCACCACCAGGAGUGGAGCCUGCGGCUUAAUUUGACUCAACACGGGAAAACUCACCCGGCCCGGACACUAGUAUGAUUGACAGAUUGAUAGUUCUUUCCUGAUUUGGUGGUUGGUGGUGCAUGGCCGUUCUUAGUUGGUGGAGUGAUUUGUCUGGUUUAUUCCGAUAACGAACGAGACUCUAACCUGCUAAAUAGUUUCCCGGUAGCUUAGCCGGCUGAAACUUCUUAGAGGGAUCAGUGG
rnacentral:rRNA from 1 species